GACGGGGGCCCGCACAAGCGGCGGAGCAUGCGGAUUAAUUCGAUGCAACGCGAAGAACCUUACCAAGGCUUGACAUACACCGGACCGGGCUGGAGACAGUCCUUCCCUUCGGGGCUGGUGUACAGGUGGUGCAUGGUUGUCGUCAGCUCGUGUCGUGAGAUGUUGGGUUAAGUCCCGCAACGAGCGCAACCCUCGUUCCAUGUUGCCAGCACGUGAUGGUGGGGAAUUCAUGGGAGACUGCCCGGGGUCAAACUCGGAGGAAGGUGGGGAUGACGUCAAAUCAUCAUGCCCUUUAUGUCUUGGGCUUCACGCAUGCUACAAUGGCCGGUACAGAGGGUGGCGAUACCGUGAGGUGGAGCGAAUCCCAGAAAGCCGGUCUCAGUUCGGAUCGUAGUCUGCAACUCGACUACGUGAAGUCGGAGUCGCUAGUAAUCGCAGAUCAGCAAUGCUGCGGUGAAUACGUUCCCGGGCCUUGCACACACCGCCC
rnacentral:rRNA from 1 species